AGACUCGUGGGGGUGGGAGGACAGUAAUAAGCCAGGGCCUGACUUUAAACACUGCCACAUUUAAUUAUUCUUGCGGCUUGUGUAUUUAUCUGAGAGUCAUUCACCCUUCUUUUGAGAAGACUGAAAACAAGACACACAUGUUCUGCCUUGGGGCCUGGGAUGGGGCAGGGCUUGCAAAGACACCAGCAGGUCUUUUUAUAAGGCAGAGCUGAAUGUAAGUGCUCUUUCCUCUGUUAAUUAACUGAAAAGUCCCUCUGACAUAGCAGAAUGGAGGGGACAGGAGACUGAAGAGGACUUCACCUCUGAGUGAAUCACCUGCCAUCCAGCCUGCUUGCUUCAGGAAGCUGAACCCGACGUCUCAUGGCAGGUUGGAGUGGUCCCCUCCACUUGCCAACUUUGCUGGAAAACAUGGCAGCCCAAGGGGAAGAAGCCACCAAGAAGAGAGUGAAGAAUGUGCUCACAGAGACACAGCUGUAAGUGGCAGAGCCGGGAUUCAAACCCAGCUUGGUCAGAAGACUAACACUCUUAGCUACCCCACUCUGCUGCCUCUCUCAUCCUGCAUCGUGAAGGAGUUCACAACAUGCCGACCCAAAAUACGCCACUCUGGCAUAGUGACUAUUUUGAGAUAAAGGCACUUUAAAAAAUAGCAAAUAUGUGAAAAACACUCUGACGAUUCUUCUUUUUCUUAAAAGCAGGAGAUAAAUUCCCAUAUGAAAGAUGUCUUCUCUACACCAGAAGGAAAGUAACGUUCUUAUCAUCCAGGAUAAGUUGAGAUCAAGAGAAUUCUAUACAAACAGACCUUGUUAAAAUCAUUCUUAUCUUCCUUCGGCCUCCCCGCAGAGUGGUGGCUUUUCUACCAUUGCCUCUCUUUGUUCAAUAUACCAUAAAAGCAAGUAGGUUUUGCUCUUUCUUUGGGUCUUCAUUCCUUACGGGUUCUCCCGUGUCACCUAAAACUUAUAUUAAAUAAAUUUGUAUGUUUUUCUCCUGUUGAUCUGUCUUCUGUCCAUCUAAUUCUCAGGCCCAGCCAAAAAGACCCCCGAGAGCGUAAGGGUAGAGCCAGCCUCCCCUGCACCUGCUCCCUCCUAAAUGCACCUGUGCUCCUCCCUCAUUUUACCCG
rnacentral:lncRNA from 1 species